rnacentral:rRNA from 1 species
GACGAACGCUGGCGGCGUGCUUAACACAUGCAAGUCGAACGAGUGGCGAACGGGUGAGUAACGCGUAUCAACCUGCCCUUCAGAGGGGGAUAACAGUUGGAAAGGACAGCUAAUACCGCAUAUUAUUCGAGCGGCCGCUGUCUGAUUAGCUGGUUGGCGGGGUAGAGGCCCAACAAGGCGACGAUCAGUAGCGGGUCUGAGAGGAUUAGCCGCCACAUUGGGACUGAGACACGGCCCAGACUCCUACGUGAGGCAGCAGUGGGGAAUAUUGCGCAAGGGGGGCAACCCUGACGCAGCCAUGCCGCGUGAAUGAAGAAGGCCUUCGGGUUGUAAAGGUCUUUCGGUGACGAGGCGUUAAUCACAGAAGAAGCACCGGCUAACUCCGUGCCAGCAGCCGCGGUAAUAC